AAGUGGGAAGAAGACAACAAUUUUAUUCAUCUUGAUCAGUCAUCUGUAGAAAGAAGAGAUAAAGAAAUCAUCCAAUGGAUAAUAUGCCCUUUCAGGUAACUAAUGCCGUGCCUACGGCAAGUAGCUCAAGUAUGAUGUCACUAAACUCUGGAACGGGGCUGAAAUGUGGCAGAAGACCAUCCAUGUAGAUGAGACAGUAGUAUGAAAAUGUAUUGUAGAGGUGGGGAAAUUAUUUAAGCUGUGCCAUCACGACACUGAACUUGAGACUGCCAGUUACAGCUCGAGAAAUGGACACUGGAAUUACCUAUGACUGCCCUCUAAAAUCAGUGAAGUAAACAGGCAAUGUGGCCAAAAAAAGCCAACAGAUCAUCAGCCACCAUUCAGUAAAGAUGUCAUAACCUACUUCAAGGAACAGCACACAAGGAUGAAAUAACAUGCAAGCAGCCAUUUGCUCCCUGGUAAAGUCUUGUCCACGAUGCACGAUUGCAUUUCCCAAGUGCACUAGAAUGCUUAAGUCAGAUUAUCUUCAGAUCCGUGAAAGAGAAAACAACAGGUCAUACUUGGGAGCAGUGCCAAGAAAAGCCAUCUCAGCUUUUUGAAUCAAGCAAACAACAUCAAAACCAAUAAGAGAAUCUUAGAGAUCUUAAUUUCCUUAAAAGAACUGCCUCAUUAAUGUCUUCUGCUCCCAAUAUUUCUAAACACAUACAAACACAAAACAACAGGGAAGCCAAUUUUCCCCUAGUACUUUGGCCCAAAUAUUCAAUAGUUCAAGCAAAAAUUAUAGAAGCGCGAGCUAUUUUAAUAUAGUUGAUUUAUGAACGCAUAGGUUUCUGUCACUAACUUCAGUGGAGGUAAAAUAUCACUCGUGAAGUAGGUAUUAAGAAUCAUAAUGAAAAUCUUGAGGUAAACGAGUUAUUUCAUACAGGACCAUCAA